rnacentral:rRNA from 1 species
GAUGAACGCUGGCGGCGUGCCUAAUACAUGCAAGUCGAGCGAACAGACGAGGCGCUUGCUCCUCUGACGUUAGCGGCGGACGGGUGAGUAACACGUGGAUACCCUACCUAUAAGACUGGGAUCACUUCGGGACACCGGAGCUUAUACCGGAUAAUAUAUUGAACCGCAUGGUUCAAUAGUGAAAGACGGUUUUGCUGUCACUUCUCGAUGGAUCCGCGCUGCAUUAGAUAGUUGUUAAGGUAACGGCUUACCAAGGCAACGAUGCGUAGCCGAGCGGAGAGGGGGGUCGGCCACCUGGGAACUGAGCCACGGUCCAGACGACUACGGGAGGGAGCAGUAGGGAAUCUGCGGCAAUGGGCGGAAGCCUUGCGGAGCAACGCCGCGUGAGUUAUGAAGGUCUUGGGAUCGUAAAACUCGGUUAUUAGGGAAGAACAAAUGUGGAAGUAACUAUGCACGUAUUGACGGUACCUAAUCAGAAAGCCACGGCUAACUACGUG